rnacentral:rRNA from 1 species
ACGACGCUGGCGGCGUGGAUUAGGCAUGCAAGUCGAACGGUAUCAUCCUUCGGGGAUGAGAGAGUGGCGAACGGGUGAGUAACACGUAGGUGAUCUACCCUCAAGACGGGACAACCCAGGGAAACUUGGCUAAUACCGGAUGUGAGCUAUCGUGAGAUAGUUUGAAAGGUGGCUUCGGCUGCCGCUUGAGGAUGAGCCUGCGUCCUAUUAGCUAGUUGGUGAGGUAACGGCUCACCGAGGCAGUGAUAGGUAGGCGGCCUUAACGGGUGGUCGCCCACACUGGGAUUGAGAUACGGCCCAGACUCCUACGGGAGGCAGCAGUCGAGAAUAGUCUACAAUGGUCGAAAGACUGAUAGUGCGACGCCGCGUGAACGAAGAAGCCCUUCGGGGUGUAAAGUUCUUUUAUAUGUGAGCAGUGACAUCUAUAUUAAUAGUAUGGGUGUAGAGAUAUUAGCAUAUGAAUAAGCAACGGCUAACUCCGUG